rnacentral:lncRNA from 1 species
AACAAUUUUUUAAUGUUCAAAGUCUUGAUUAAUUUCUAAUAAAAAAAAGUUAAGGUGAGAGACUUUUCUCUCUCGGUUUUCUCCCCCUCGACCUCUUCUCUCGGCGUCUCUCGUAACCUCCGUCACGGUAGCCGGUGGUGCUUUCUCAACCGUCGGUCGCCACCCCAACUAACGUUCUGUUCUCCGCCUCUUUUUCUGUAACCAAUCAUCCAACCUGCUUCUUCCUUGCUUCAAUCUCUCUGGAUUCCGUCAAAUAACGACCGGAUUUGACGGCUCUAAACAGAAGUCGAAUUGUUCUUGUCUUCUCUGGAGGAUUGGCGAAGAUGUAGUUGGGUCCCUUGUCUGCAGGAAGCGUCGAUUAGAGGUAGAUAUAGAUCUAGGGUUUUUGUUGGAUCUGGGUCAGAUCCGACUCGGAGGCUUUGCCGGACAACAGAGCGUCGCUGCCUCUGCCUCUCUGGUUUGUCGCCGCCUCCUCUUGUCUUCACAUCUCCCUCUGUCGAUUGCUCAGCCAGAACUUCCCCAUCUUGACCUUCGGAUCUAAGAUGAAAAGACGAGAUGAGGCUUUCGUCGGGGACUUCUUUUCCUUAUGAUUCUUUAGCUCAAAAUCAUGACGGCUCUACUCGCCGUUUGUGUUGUUGGAGCUUUGGUUCCUCUGUUCUUCAUAUUUCCAGAAGGAAGCUAUUCGUCAAUGUUCCAGCCUUGUCCUUGCUCUGAAGCUAGAAUCUUUUCAGUUGAUGCUCGUGUGAAGGGACCGGAGUAGAGAGCCCUGAACCUCCGCUUGUUUCCGCCUGCGUCGCUCCACACUUAUCUGCUAGCUUCUCUUCUUUGCAUUAGGGUCUCCUGGAACCACCGGAUUGGCUUCUAGAGCUAUUUCAGCGUCUGGAGUAGACAUCAUCGGUGCUAGCCGGACCAGGACCUAGUCAACCCUGCUUCGCCGUCGCACCUUUUCGAAGUCGUCUUCGGGAUGAGCCUCGGUUCCUAGGCUCAUUCUCCGGCUGAUUGCUCUAAUGUUCGUGACUCUUUGUGCAGGUUCCGGCAUCGAGAUUCAGCCUUGAACUACUGGAUUGACAUUUGAGUUUUGCUUUCAUGUUUUAGCUAAGCUUUAAUCACUUCGUAGGAGAUGAUUAAACCUUGUUUUUCUGUGAAAGUCUUUUUUUACUUUUUUUUGGGGCUUUCUAAGAGCCUUGCUUUAAUUAGCUAAUCCUAGACGCAUAAGGUUUGAUCUUCAAGCUCUGAAUUUAUCUCUUGUAUCAUUAUCUUUGGUAAUGAAAUUCACA